rnacentral:lncRNA from 1 species
UUUUUUUUAAUUUAUCAAAAUUCUUCUGCAUUUAAAUUGGAUACAUUCUUUGAAGUGAUUGUUUCUGUUUGAUUGCAUUAUUAAAUCAUGGAAUUGGACUGGCCUAUGUUUGGACAAUAGUAGAAUAGGACAAAAAUUAAAAAUUAAUUAUGCACCCACCCUAAAGUGCUCAAAUAAUGCCACAGCUGCUUUCGGAUAAGUUGGCAGUGGAAGAAGUAAGGUCUCAAAUUAAUUAAUAGCUAUCUAUAU